GAUGAAGAACGCAGCGAAAUGCGAUAAGUAGUGUGAAUUGCAGAAUUCAGUGAAUCAUCGAAUCUUUGAACGCACAUUGCGCCCCUUGGUAUUCCAUGGGGCAUGCCUGUUCGAGCGUCAUUUGUACCUUCAAGCUUUGCUUGGUGUUGGGUGUUUGUCUCGCCUUUGCGUGUAGACUCGCCUUAAAAUAAUUGGCAGCCGGCGUAUUGAUUUCGGAGCGCAGUACAUCUCGCGCUUUUCACUCAUAACGACAGCGUCCAAAAGUACAUUUUACACUCUUGACCUCGGAUCAGGUAGGGAUACCCGCUGAACUUAAGCAUAUCAAUAAGCGGAGGA
rnacentral:misc_RNA from 1 species